CUUUAGUCUUUAUCAUACUCCGAAUCUUUAAUUACUAAUUAUUAAGGUAAAAAUUUUCUUGAAGUUAACCGUGGUUAAUUUGAAGAGAGUGAAAGCGCAAGCUAAGAUAGUUCACGUGAUCCGAUGUUUUGGUCAAAUUGCAAAUACCUGAUGGUUUGCAUGACAGAAUUUGACACUUUUUGCCAAAAGGUGACACUCUGGUUCUUCGCAUAACCCUUUCAUCUGACGGCACGCUAAAUAAGAGUUUUUUACUGUUGUAUUUAGGUAAUGUUUCAGUCAAACUCAUGCUUGCAGUGAUGAUUUUCUUUGAUCACUAAAAAAUUAUAAAUCUUGAGGACAAUUAUUAAAUUAUCCUUUUCUGUGCAAGUAGCAAGCCUUUUUUUAAAGGAGUAGCCUGCCACUAAAUUAAGUAUUCAUCAAAGAUGUAUUAUUGUAACUGCCAGGUUAAGCCUGAAGGAAGAGAAGAAGAAAGGAUAUUCAUGAGAUGAAGGUACAAUGAAGUACAUCAGGAAAUUAACAUAAUAUGUUACUCUUUCAGGAGGAUUUUUAUUUGUUCAAGUCAAGAUGGUGAAAAAUAUGUACAGGAACUUAUGCGGACUCCUUUAAGUUGAAAUAUGGUUAAUUAAAGUUAAGAGUUACCAUAUCAAAAAAGAAAAAUAUAAAUUGACGCAAAAGUGAUGCCAAGAACAAACCAAAAGUUUGAGAAAGAAAAAUACAUAUUUCCUAGGUCGAAUGCAUUUCAAGCAUGUGAUGCUCUUGCAGAUAGAAUUAUACAAAAUAGUUAUCAAUGUUAGUUGGCUGAUCAAGCAUUAGAAGUUAAUUGAUUAACUUCUGAUUGAAAGGUUCAGAUAAGCACUAUUUUUAGCGGACUAUAUCUUGAAAGACAUUAUAUGUCUGAUUGUAUAAGCUCUCCUAUAUUUUAUAACAUCUAAACAAUUUCCAUCUUUCGAUUUUGAUAGACACUAAUUAAUUAUCAAAGAGAGUUGAAAUGAGUCCCAUGGCUGAGA